rnacentral:lncRNA from 1 species
CUUGAAGAACAGGGUGAAAGAAAUAACAAGUUAAGAGCCCGUCUGAAGAAUAGGGUAAAUUUUCAAGUUCAAGUCAUGAAGAUUUGAAUUAAGAUUCUAGAGAUUGCAAUUUUUAUUUCAUUUUUUAUUUUUGUAGUCACUUGAAUGUAAAAGACAGAAUUCGUCAACCGAAAACUCGAUGGAAUCUCACUCGAUUUUAACUUUUUCUCUCACCAAAUUACCUUUGAACUACUCGUGACCUGACUCUCUUAUAACCCGAGAUAGGUAGGAUGUCAAAAAACAGGACUCGGUUAUUUUUUUUUUUAUUUUCAUUUUUAUUUUUACCUUUCAAAUAAUUGGAGGGUCAAAAAUAAUAUAUUUUCUACUUCUUUGUACGAAAACUCUUCGAGAUUUCACACAAAGAGGGGUAAAAAUGUAGACACGUG